rnacentral:rRNA from 1 species
GCAAGUCGAGGGGUAACAGAGGUAGCUUGCUACUUGCUGACGACCGGCGCACGGGUGCGUAACGCGUAUAGAAUCUGCCUCAUACUGAGGGAUAGCCUUUGGAAACGAAGAUUAAUACCUCAUAGUAUCAUUUAACGGCAUCGUUUAGUGAUUAAAGGUUACGGUAUGAGAUGACUAUGCGUCCUAUUAGUUAGUUGGUAAGGUAGUGGCUUACCAAGGCGACGAUCAGUAGCCGGCCUGAGAGGGGGAUC